AUUGAACGCUGGCGGCAGGCCUAACACAUGCAAGUCGAGCGGAUGAAGGGAGCUUGCUCCUGGAUUCAGCGGCGGACGGGUGAGUAAUGCCUAGGAAUCUGCCUGGUAGUGGGGGAUAACGUCCGGAAACGGGCGCUAAUACCGCAUACGUCCUGAGGGAGAAAGUGGGGGAUCUUCGGACCUCACGCUAUCAGAUGAGCCUAGGUCGGAUUAGCUAGUUGGUGGGGUAAAGGCCUACCAAGGCGACGAUCCGUAACUGGUCUGAGAGGAUGAUCAGUCACACUGGAACUGAGACACGGUCCAGACUCCUACGGGAGGCAGCAGUGGGGAAUAUUGGACAGUGGGCGAAAGCCUGAUCCAGCCAUGCCGCGUGUGUGAAGAAGGUCUUCGGAUUGUAAAGCACUUUAAGUUGGGAGGAAGGGCAGUAAGUUAAUACCUUGCUGUUUUGACGUUACCAACAGAAUAAGCACUGGCUAACUUCGU
rnacentral:rRNA from 1 species